UACGUAGGUGACAAGCGUUGUCCGGAAUCACUGGGCGUAAAGGGCGCGUAGGCGGUCUGCUAAGCGUGCGGUGAAAGCCUGGGGCUCAACCCCAGGUCUGCCGUGCGAACUGGUGGACUAGAGCACUGUAGAGGCAGGUGGAAUUUCGGGUGUAGCGGUGGAAUGCGUAGAGAUCCGAAAGAACACCGGUGGCGAAGGCGGCCCACUGGCUCGAUACUGACGCUGAGGUGCGAAAGCGUGGGGAGCAAACAGG
rnacentral:rRNA from 1 species